AUUGAACGCUGGCGGCAUGCUUUACACAUGCAAGUCGAACGGUAGAGGGGGCAACCCCUUGAGAGUGGCGAACGGGUGAGUAAUGCAUCGGAACGUGCCCAGUCGUGGGGGAUAGCCCGGGGAAACCCGGAUUAAUACCGCAUACGACCUGAGGGUGAAAGCGGGGGACCGAAAGGCCUCGCGCGAUUGGAGCGGCCGAUGUCGGAUUAGGUAGUUGGUGGGGUAAAGGCCUACCAAGCCUGCGAUCCGUAGCUGGUCUGAGAGGACGACCGGCCACACUGGGACUGAGACACGGCCCAGACUCCUACGGGAGGCAGCAGUGGGGAAUUUUGGACAAUGGGCGCAAGCCUGAUCCGGCCAUGCCGCGUGCGGGGAGAAGGCCUUCGGGUUGUAAACCGCUUUUGUCAGGGAAGAAAUCCUUUGGACUAAUACUCUGGGGGGAUGACGGUACCUGAAGAAUAAGCACCGGCUAACUACGUGCCAGCCGCCGCGGUAA
rnacentral:rRNA from 1 species